rnacentral:rRNA from 1 species
AGUGAACGCUGGCGGUAGGCCUAACACAUGCAAGUCGAACGGCAGCACAGUAAGAGCUUGCUCUUACGGGUGGCGAGUGGCGGACGGGUGAGGAAUACAUCGGAAUCUACUUUUUCGUGGGGGAUAACGUAGGGAAACUUACGCUAAUACCGCAUACGACCUACGGGUGAAAGCAGGGGAUCUUCUGACCUUGCGCGAUUGAAUGAGCCGAUGUUGGAUUAGCUAGUUGGCGGGGUAAAGGCCCACCAAGGCGACGAUCCGUAGCUGGGCUGAGAGGAUGAUGAGCCACAAUGGAACAGAGAAACGGAACAGACUCCGAGGGGAGGGAGCAGUGGGGAAUAUUGGACAUGGGGCGGAAGCUUGAUCCAGCCAUACCGCGUCGAUGAAGAUGGUCUUCGUGUUGUAAAGCCCUUUUGUUGGGAAAGAAAAGCAGCAGGUUAAGACCCCGCUGUUCUGACGGUACCCAAAGAAUAAGCACCGGCUAACUUCGUG